rnacentral:SRP_RNA from 1 species
GGACCGGAAGGAAGCAGCGACCGCGCGG